GCUAGGGCCGGUGUGCCCCCAUUUCAUGGCAUUGGGGGACAACAGGAUUCUCUGUCUAGGUCCCACUGUACUCAAGUCCUUGGGAAGAUGCCCACCCUUGCUUGGGACUUGAGACUCCAGAGACUGGAGCAGCUGUGGGCCACUGGGUCUGGCCCCUUUUUCCCUGGGGGCGGCGGUGGAAUGGGGGUUACGCAGCCAGCCAGCAUCUGGGAGCCCGGCGAGAGCGGUUCAGGUGUUCUCCGAAGCCGCCGCGUACAGUGUAACCUUUAGACGAUUUUGUCACACAGGAUGGACGUGGUAGAGGUCGCGGGUAGUUGGUGGGCACAAGAGCGAGAGGACAUCAUUAUGAAAUACGAAAAGGUACAAGUCGGUGUGCUUCUUGGAGGGAGGCCUCUUCCAGUGUGCCCUGGUCAAAGGGUCCUGGGCUCCCUAGGAGCACAGGGCAGGGACGGCUGGCCAAUGCCCCCAGGCCCUUGCACCCUUUACCUUGGACCCCUCACCAAGGCUCCCUCUGGGCUACAGGACACCGAGCUGGGCUGCCAGAGGACAAGGGGCCUAAGCCUUUUGGAAGAUACAACAACAAUGUCGAUCAUUUGGGGAUUGUACGGUCACUCAGGGAUUCGACUCUGAGGUCAAUGAUGCACUUGGCACCAGAAAAUGAUGGGGUUGGCACAGACCUGCCAGCCUCAGCC
rnacentral:lncRNA from 1 species